rnacentral:tRNA from 1 species
GGAGAAUUAGUUAAAAUUAUAAUUUGAGCUUGUCAAGCUUGUGUUGCCUGAAUGGUAUUCUCUU